ensembl:lncRNA
CUGAAUGGCAUUUAUUAUCCAGACAGUGUAUCAUGGCCAGUUACCCUGAUGGAUUGGUAAGAACAUGCCUUGGCUCCAUACCAUUACGCAGUCCUUAUAUAGGGAUUUUUUUUCUUAAGUAAGGACUGAAAUGUGACACCAUGCAAGUCUUUCAGACUUACCUCGUAAGGAGCAUGCGCUGCUUGUGCACACUCCAGAGGAGACUGUCUUCCACCAAGAUCCCUUUGCUCAGAUUUCACAUGCGGCAGCCAAAGUUCCCGUUAAAGCCAGCUAUAGUUUUGCCUGAAUAAGGACCGGAGGACCUAGCCAGAUCUUGUAGGAUAAAAGAAGGGAAGAGUGGAAGAGGCAUCAGUUCAGAACAAUGAGAAGCAGUUCCUGUUGCCCGCCAGCUGCUGCAAGGGAGGUUGUUCCAUGAUUAGUGACCUUCAAAGGCAGUACUUCAGCUCGUUUCUUCAGCCUAGUCUGCUGUUAGAGGAAGACCGUCUUCUCAAUGACCUGACCUCGUCAUGUGUAGGGGAUCACUCACCUCUUAACUGUGAUUGCUCCAAGGCUGCAGGAAAAUUACAUUUUUUGAGAACUUCAUCCCAAAGGCCUGAGCAAUGUUGAGGCACAGAUCUCAGCUAUAUCAUGUUCCCAACACUCUCUCUUUGGAAGCCCGAAGAAAGAAAUGUGCUUGCAGCAUGACGGACAGAAAAACUGGUUCAGGCAAGUCAGAAGCUGUGGAAGAAAUGGAAAGAGAGAAUUGGAGCCAGAAAGUCUCAAAGAGGACAUUUUUUGCUGAUUUUUUUUGGAUGACUGCAUCAGUUUUGAGCACCUCGGAAAAAGCAAUUUGUUUUUCACUCCUGGCAUAUCGUGUUUGUUCAAAUAGAGCCAUUAAAAGUGUGGGCAUAAUAGUUCGUGAGGCAGCUUGUGACCCAUACCACUUUCUCUUGCCUUCUUCACCCUAGUUAAACUUUAGAAGCUUCCCACAUUAUUCUCAAGUGCUUCUUGCAGGGCAACAGUUGGUUUUCAUUGAACUUGGAAUGGAAAACGUGGACAAGUUCUGCAAACUCUUUUGAGAACAGAGAAAUGGGAAAAUGAAGAACAAUAUUUCUCUCUGUAUCAAGAACAGCUGUCACACUAUGCCAAGCACACUAAUGAAAAAAUUAGUAAUAAACAGUUAGCAGUGUAUCUUCAAGAGAAGUGUAACCAACUUACGUGUAGAAAAUAAAGAACUACAAACUAAUGAAGAAAAAUAUAUAGUGUUACAUCCAAACCAGUCAAGCUGUGCAGGGAAAGAAAGGCUAUCCAUUUCUGUCCUGUAAGCCAUGGCACUUUCAUUUGUAAAUUUUCCCUGCUUUUCUCUAUUUUUUAAAAUUGUCUCAUCUAGGCAGCUGGGUCUCUUUUAAGUGAUAGAAACUACCUAAAUGUCAAGAACAUGCUUCAGAAUAAGGAGAUUUAUGCUUAUGACUGUCUCUUUUCCAUAUCUAGUAUGCUAUUUAUCUAGAGUUGUGAUCAUGGAAUCAUAGAAUGGCCUGGGUUGAAAAGGACCACAGUGAUCAUGUAGUUUCAACCCCCCUGCUAUGUGCAGGGUCGCCAACCACCAGACCAGGCUGCCCAGAGCCACAUCCAGCCUGGCCUUGAAUGCCUCCAGGGAUGGGGCGUCCACAACCUCCUUGGGCAACCUGUUCCAGUGCGUCACCACCCUCUGGGUGAAAAACUUCCUCCUAAUAUCUAACCUAAACCUCCCCUGUCUCAGUUUAAAACCAUUCCCCCUUGUCCUAUCACUAUCCACCCUUGUAAACAGCCGUUCCCCCUCCUGGAGGUAUUAUGGUUUCUUGCUGGAUCCAGGUAUUUUAUAUUGAUGUUAGAAGCUGUGGCUACAGAGCUGCCAGCUUAACUAUAAACAGUAUCUGAUCAGGUGAGUUAGUGAACUGUAAGGUCAGAGGCCAUAGUAUUACCUUGUCUGCCCUGCUACCAUUUUGUCUAUCAGCCAUUAUACAGUGCAGCCUGGCUUAGCCACAUCAUUGACCUCAGCUUCAUUAAAUGGCACUGUUUUCUUGCCUGAUGUAGAAGGCUCUCAUAACAAAGUUAAAAACUGCCAUUGAUAGUUUUUUGAGUUACUCUUUUUAUUCAGGGCAAAGCAAGUAGAAUCUCCUUCAGUUUCUCUGUAAUUUUCACUUCUUCUGUUAUGUUUUAACAUUUUCUCUAUCCUCUUCUGGCUUGAGCUGGUUAGGGAAUCAGAGCUUCAUGCUUGCUAAUGUAAUGAAUGCAUGUUUGACACUGUAUUGCAGCCUUUCUGUGGAAUUUGAUUCUGACAUAAGCUGGUGGGACAGGCUGUCAUUUGUCACUCUUAUGAUGUUUUCCUUGUGAAUGAGUUCUUUGGUAUCCUUUUGCCCAAAGGACAGUCUUCUCUCACCUGCUCUGUUUUCUUCCAGUGCUUAUUGUUCUGCUUGUGCUAAUGCAGAGAGACAGUUGCUAUCCUUUAGAAAUUUACAAUAGGCAUUAACCUAAGGCACUGACACAAGUAUUUUUGUGAUUCAAAGUAGACAUUAAACAGCUGAAGUAGGAGGGGGGUGGCCAUACCUAUGAAUGAAGCUGGUGCACUGUGGAAACCUUAGCUAAUUACUUCUGGAUGAAGAAACCUUCAAGGUCCGCUGGCUAAGAUAUUGGAGGCUGUUACCUGAGCAGUUCCCUGGCCCCAGGCAAUGAGCUAGCACAGCUUCCAGCCUGUGCCAGACCAUUAGCUGCAAGCUACUAAUAUGACACAUCCCUCACGACUUGUCCUCUAAAGCCAGCACUGGAUUCAGUCCCAGAUCCAAGCUCCUACGUCAUGUGGCUUUUUCAGAUUUUCAGUUUUGUUUUUUUUAAUUAGAAACAAACCAGCACAUGCUAAAGCCUAACCAUUCCUUCCUGCUUAAAAAAAAACCCAAACAAACAAACAAACAAACCCACUGCUGAUACAGCAGUGCUUGCUUUGGUAUACAGCAGUACUGGUGAGAGGCGUGACCAAACUGGAAGCCUCACUGUGGUGCUGAUGCUAUGGCAUCAGCCAUAUGAUCUGUGAUCUGCAAAACUCUUCCAAAAGCACUUCUUGAGAAGGCUGUAUGAGAAAGAUACAGCAGGCCCAAGUGCAAGCUUUUGUAGAAAUACCUCCACAGGCCUGGAAAAGUGUUGCCAUAAAUAAAGAGCAUAAAGAGUUUCCUUGGCUGGAAUGGGAGAGUGACUGCUGACAUUACUUAACUUGGAGGUGGUGAACAUGUGAUUAAGAUUUUCUGUCUCCUAAUCAUGGCCUUGCCUGUCCUAUUACUGUUUACCCAAGAUGAACACCUUGAGCUGAAGUUUGAGGUCCAGAUCCCAGUCCCACCACAGCAUCUCUUAGCACCACAAGCUGUAGGACUUGUAGUUUAAAGAUCAGCACUGUUGGCUUCUGGCUGAUACAGCAAACACUUAUUCCUCUCUGCUCAUUUAAGGUAGCACAAAACUAUUUUAAGCAGGCACAAGCCUUGUGCAGGAAAGCUCACACAACUCUGACAACUCCAAAGCCGGGGAAGGGCAGCUGAGAUAAGUGAAUGCAAAGGAUCUACAUCUCAAACAGCUCUAAACCACCAUGGCUUUUAAUCCCCUGGUGUAAUGAGAGUGUCAGUAGGCUCCUUCCUCUAAGUGGAGUGCUACUGGGAGCACCAUGCUGGGUCAAGCCAUUAGUCAUGGGCAUCUGUGGAAAGCAGGCCCACAUGUGCCUUGGGCUGUGCUGGAGCAGGUCAGUGGAGGAGGACAGGAGGUACUCACUGGGCUGCAGGACAGGCCAAGGUGAGCCUGGCCAAUACAGCCUGCAGCCAACUUGACUGCUGCUGUGUUGGAGCACCACAGCUGCCCUUGGGAUUUGUUGUUUGACUGUUAACCCCUCUAAAAUAAAUUGUUUUUUAAAGAAAGAAUGUCUGCCCCAGUCUGCAGGGUUCACUCAGUCUUUUCCCUUUGAAAACUGUGGCUUAAUAAAUCUCCCAGUAGUGAAACAAAGAACAUGGAACUAUAUAUAUAUGCUGGCUUCAUUUGAAGAUCUGUCACACACACCAUGCUUCUAACAGUCCAACCAUUUCAACAAAUAGUGUUUUUGUUUGUUUGUUUGUUUUGGGGGGGAAGGGAAGGACUUCUGUUAACCUGUCUUAGCAAACCAGUAAAAUCCAUUCUACAGACUCCUUCAUACUACAUAAAGAUGCCUCCCACAGAGGUUGUACUUAGCCCACCUCCUCCAUGGAGUGGCAUUCCCACCUGACCAUGCUAUAUCUUCUUAACUCUAGGAGAGCCCAUCAUCUUCUGUAUGGGUAGCAGGUGGCAACAGGUGUUUCAACUGCAGUAACUCAAUUGUUAAGUAUGGAAACAGCUGGGCCUGCUUAUGGUCCUUCUGUUAUUAGCUGUUUGUUGCCAUUCCUUAGCAACCAUCUGCAGUUAAACCUGUGGCUGAGCUCAUGGGGGAAGCUUGGAAGAGCCCUUUGGAUGCUUUUCUCUAGUAAGUGAAGCUAACCUAGUUGAGUUGGGAUGGGAAAUAGCUUCUGUAAUUUAUCUUACCAACUCUGUUGUGUUAUGGACUUCAGCAGAGGUGUAAUGUUGGGCAUGCAAGUAAUGUUUUAACCUUGUACAGCUGUUUCUGCAACAAGUGAUGGUGAGCUACAAAGGGAAAGAAUUUGAUCUACAUGUUAUUCCAGCCUUUUCUAAAUGUACUUAUGUUGCUCUUUAAUCUUCCUUUGGAUUUUCUGGUACCUGGGAUCCUUUGAAGUUCAAUUAUAUUGGCUUAUACUCAGAAACUGAUUGACUGUACUGUUCUUAGCACCAUGGUGGUUUUUCCACCCAGGAUGGUUGUUCCAAAUGCUGGCACUGUUUUAAUUUUACUUAAGCAGAUUUACUAAGCUGUCUAAGCUUACAGUCUAAAAUUUUUCUAUUUAAAUGUGUCUAUUAACUGUUGUCAGCAUCCCCUGAAGGAGGGAGCAGGCUGCCACUAUAUUUGCUUUCUGCCUCUGUAGCCCCCCAGAGCCAUCCACUGGGCUGAUGUUGUAGUAUAGAGAGUGCAGUAAGGAAUUAACCCCCUUAUGAGCCUCUCUGUGUCAACAGGACAUCUCAUUGUUUCUGGUUGCCCAUUGGUCAGAGAAAAGACCUCAACAGCUUGCUUAGUGGAAGCUCUCAGCUUGGCUGUAGAGUGCAUCUGAGCUCUGUGUUAUUCAUGUCUUGAACAGCAUGAACUUUGAGCUGCUUGGUGAGCCCCAGGACAAGAGGGUGGGAUAGACUCCCAGUUUUUAGAUGCACUGACUGCUAUUGGGGAAGUGAGCAGUCCAGUCCCAAUAACUAAGCAUCUACUGCUGCCCUGUUUUAAAUGAUAUUUCAGAAAAUAAUAUCAACCUCUGAAAAGUUAAUCUUCAGUUUGUGUUUGCAGUCUACCAAGUGCUUUGGUGUUUAGGUAUCCAGGUUAUCAUCUCAUGCAUGUAUAUUUCAGUGCUACUUCACGUAUAUAUGUGUGUAUAUAUAUAUUUUUUUCUCUUGCUAUUUAUAUCUAGGUACAAGCUUCCUGUAAUAUUAUUCACUUUUUUUAUAAAAAAGUCUUUUUUUUUUUUUCUUUGUGGCAGUUUUCACAGUUUUUACAGCUGCUACUUUGUUUGGGUCAGGCUGUAAUCUUUCUUUAGAAACCCAGUCUCAGAAGUUAUGGGCCUAUCAAAAACCGGCAGUUUAAUUUUAUAGACACACCUGUGAAUUUAAUUCUCUGUCUGAAACUUCUUUUAAGUCCUUAAAGGGUCAUUCCAAACUCAAGAGAGAAAGCUAUGAUUGCGUCGUCUCAGUAAACUGCAUGCUAUAUUGACAUACUGAACCUGGCAGCUGAAUGUUCAUUAAUCCUGAAACCUUGCCAAGUCACUUGUAAUUCCAAAAGGCACUACAUUUAAAAUAAAAAGUUCCCUUUAUGAUGAAAUCCCACUUCCUUAAAAUGGAUGAUGGCAAUAAGAAAUAAAAUACAUUUGUAACUGCUAACACCUGCUAGUAAGAUCAAGGGUAGUUAAGUAUUCCUAAUUGAAAGAAGCUUCAGUGAACUGUAAAUUCAAGUUCUAGGAUAUUUUUUCCCCCCUGUCUUCCCCCACUUUAUUUUUGUUAUCAUUUUAAAUUUAAACCUAAAGACUAAACUGAAGUUUAGGAUUGAAGCUACAUAAAUUAGCUCUAUUCUCCUGAUGGCUACGCCAAAGGAAGAAGGAUUUUUUUUAACUGCAGCAAACCUGACGUCUAGUGUAGCCUUACAGCUCUGCUUUUAAGGAUAAUGCAUUUGGGACUAUGAUUAUUACAUGUUGCACGUAAACAAUAGGAAGAAAUACUGCUCUUAACCCCAAAAACUUUUCUGCUUCAUUUAGUAAGGUGAGGAAGAUGACCUUGAAACAUACAAAGUAACUGUAAAAUCCGCACCCUUCACAGACUGUGUCUUAAGUCAAACUUUAAAUUUAUCAAAGUUCACAAGCAGGAUGUAAAAGAACAAAAUACAGAAAGAAAGUAUGUUUGUCAACACAGGCAGCUCAUAAAUGUAGCAUGGCCGUGACUAGGUACAGUAAGUCUCUUGAUCGUUGUUUAAAUUGUGACUAAAAUGUUUUUGUUUUACAAUGGAGUGAAAUACUGUAGGUCUCUUACUGUGUGCUCCUUUUAAGCAAAAGCAUUUACAAGCCAUGGCCAAGUCUAUUUGAAGAACUGAUAGCUUGACUAAAUAAAAAUACCUGAGAUCUCUAGACUCUCUAUUCUUUUGGAUAUUCACCGCAAUUUUGUAAUUUUUAGCAAUUUAGGGAAGGUAAAAUUGCCACUCUAUUGAAGCCAAUGUGAGUUCUGACAUUUAUUGAAGUAAGGCCAGUAUUUUUCAGGGAGUACAUUACCAGAGGUGCUCUGUUCUUAUGGCUGGCAGAUAGUCUGCAUUCUUAUCAGAACCUGUUACAUGCUCAUCUGAAUCUGCUGAAGUCUUUCUUUCGCUUAACAUGAUGCAUAUCUACUCUGCUCUUUGGUAAUUUGGUGGGAAGUGUGUGGUGGUAUUUCUUAUUUAUUUUUUUCUUAAUGUGUUAGAAAAAGCUGAAAAACCAAAGAGGGAGAGUUGAGUUGAUCAGAUGUGUGGUUUGGAAAGCCUGAGCGCCAAUUUGCCUAAACACUUAGGUUUGCUUAAGAUGGGAGGGUGUGAGUGACCAUCAGAAGGGCAGUUGUCUUGCCGUAGACAAGCCCUGCACUCGGGGAGCUCAGCUAGAUAAGAACUACUUAGAGACAUCACUAGGGGGAACAAAUCUUGCCUGUAGUGACAAGGAAGCAGCUUUUAACAUGGAACAACGUGUGUACUGUGGCACUUAUGCAGUGGAUGCUUAACCCAGGCACUUUGGUUUUACUAGAAGGUAAAUUAGCCCAGGUCAAAUAACUGUGCUGACUUUGCCUGGUUGUUAGUAAAAUCUGCCAGCACUUGUGGCAUGUUGUGCUUUGUAGCAAGGUAAGCAAAAAAUAAAUGGGAUGGCUAAAUAAAAAAAAAAAAAAAAAACUAACAUCCUCUUUGAACUCCAUGCCUUCAUGAUAGAGAGUAACCUCAGUCCUGAAAACCAGGGAGACAGGUUAUUCUGGUGGCCUCAAUAAAUAACUCUCUUUAUAUUCUCUGUAAUUGAAUCUUGUCUUUCUCUCCUCACAUCUCUCAUCUCAGAGACAACAUGAGGCUGGGGGGGGGGGGGGGGG